rnacentral:rRNA from 1 species
AGUGAACGCUGGCGGUAGGCCUAACACAUGCAAGUCGAACGGCAGCACAGUAAGAGCUUGCUCUUACGGGUGGCGAGUGGCGGACGGGUGAGGAAUACAUCGGAAUCUACUUUUUCGUGGGGGAUAACGUAGGGAAACUUACGCUAAUACCGCAUACGACCUACGGGUGAAAGCAGGGGAUCUUCGGACCUUGCGCGAUUGAAUGAGCCGAUGUCGGAUUAGCUAGUUGGCGGGGUAAAGGCCCACCAAGGCGACGAUCCGUAGCUGGUCUGAGAGGAUCAUCAGCCACACUGGAACUGAGACACGGUCCAGACUCCUACGGGAGGCAGCAGUGGGGAAUAUUGGACAAUGGGCGCAAGCCUGAUCCAGCCAUACCGCGUGGGUGAAGAAGGCCUUCGGGUGGUAAAGCCCUUUUGUUGGGAAAGAAAAGCAGCAGGUUAAUACCCCGCUGUUCUGACGGUACCCAAAGAAUAAGCACCGGCUAACUUCGUG